AUUGAACGCUGGCGGCAUGCUUUACACAUGCAAGUCGAACGGCAGCGCGGGCUUCGGCCUGGCGGCGAGUGGCGAACGGGUGAGUAAUGCAUCGGAACGUGCCCAGUAGUGGGGGAUAGCCCGGCGAAAGCCGGAUUAAUACCGCAUACGACCUGAGGGUGAAAGCGGGGGACCGAAAGGCCUCGCGCUAUUUGAGCGGACGAUGUCGGAUUAGCUAGUUGGUGGGGUAAAGGCUUACCAAGGCGACGAUCCAUAGCUGGUCUGAGAGGACGACCAGCCACACUGGGACUGAGACACGGCCCAGACUCCUACGGGAGGCAGCAGUGGGGAAUUUUGGACAAUGGGGGCAACCCUGAUCCAGCCAUGCCGCGUGCGGGAAGAAGGCCUUCGGGUUGUAAACCGCUUUUGUUCGGGAAGAAAUCCUCUGGGCUAAUACCCCGGGGGGAUGACGGUACCGGAAGAAUAAGCACCGGCUAACUACGUG
rnacentral:rRNA from 1 species